rnacentral:snRNA from 1 species
GGAUGUGAGGGCGAUCUGCCUGCGACAUCUGUCACCCCAUUGAUCGCCAGGGUUGAUUCGGCUGAUCUGGCUGGCUAAGCGGGUGUCCCCUUCCUCCCUCACUGCUCCAUGUGCAUCCCUCCUGAAGCUGCGCGCUCAGUCGAAGAGGACGACCAUCCCAAUAGAGGAGGACUGUUCUUCGGUCAAGGGUAUACGAGUAGCUGUGCUCCCAUGCCAGAACCUCCAAACAAGCUCUCAAAUAUUUUAUCCAUUUUUCAAUGAACUGUUUGUUUCCCCAUUACCGACUUGCAGAAGGAGUCCAUGCAUUCUGUGCUCACAUCU